GUAGGGAAUCUUCCACAAUGGACGAAAGUCUGAUGGAGCAACGCCGCGUGAGUGAAGAAGGUUCUCGGAUCGUAAAACUCUGUUGUGAGGGAAGAACAAGUACCGGAGUAACUGCCGGUACCUUGACGGUACCUCAUUAGAAAGCCACGGCUAACUACGUGCCAGCAGCCGCGGUAAUACGUAGGUGGCAAGCGUUGUCCGGAAUCAUUGGGCGUAAAGCGCGCGCAGGCGGUCCCUUAAGUCUGAUGUGAAAGCCCACGGCUCAACCGUGGAGGGUCAUUGGAAACUGGGGGACUUGAGUGCAGAAGAGGAAAGCGGAAUUCCAAGUGUAGCGGUGAAAUGCGUAGAGAUUUGGAGGAACACCAGUGGCGAAGGCAGCCUCCUGGGAUGACACUGACGCUCAUGCACGAAAGCGUGGGGAGCAAACAGGAUUAGAAACCCGAGUAGUCC
rnacentral:rRNA from 1 species